AAUGAGUUUGGAUCCUGGCUCAGAGCGAACGCUGGCGGCAGGCUUAACACAUGCAAGUCGAACGGGCGUAGCAAUACGUCAGUGGCAGACGGGUGAGUAACGCGUGGGAACGUACCUUUUGGUUCGGAACAACACAGGGAAACUUGUGCUAAUACCGGAUAAGCCCUUACGGGGAAAGAUUUAUCGCCGAAAGAUCGGCCCGCGUCUGAUUAGCUAGUUGGUGAGGUAAUGGCUCACCAAGGCGACGAUCAGUAGCUGGUCUGAGAGGAUGAUCAGCCACAUUGGGACUGAGACACGGCCCAAACUCCUACGGGAGGCAGCAGUGGGGAAUAUUGGACAAUGGGGGCAACCCUGAUCCAGCCAUGCCGCGUGAGUGAUGAAGGCCCUAGGGUUGUAAAGCUCUUUUGUGCGGGAAGAUAAUGACGGUACCGCAAGAAUAAGCCCCGGCUAA
rnacentral:rRNA from 1 species